rnacentral:rRNA from 1 species
UACGGGGGGGGGCAAGCGUUGUUCGGAAUUACUGGGCGUAAAGGGCUCGUAGGCGGCCAACUAAGUCGGAUGUGAAAAUCCCCCAGGCUCAACCUGGGAACUGCAUCCGAUACUGGAUGGCUUGAAUUCGGGAGAGGGAUGCAGAAUUCCAGGUGUAGCGGUGAAAUGCGUAGAUAUCUGGAGGAAUACCGGUGGCGAAGGCGGCAUCCUGGACCGACAUUGACGCUGAGGAGCGAAAGCCAGGGGAGCAAACGGG